CUUGCUGUCAGGCUUGUGGUUUUGAAGGUGAAUCGAUCAACCAUAUCCUCUUUAGCUGUUCCAUAGCUAGGCAAGUUUGGGCUCUGGCUAACGUCCCACAUCCGGAGGAUGGGUAUGAUAACAUGUCUCACUUCUCUAAUAUACAUUACCUCUUGAUGUUGAUGAAGAAUAGGGAUUUAAAUGAGAAUGUUAGAAAUAUGAUACCUUGGAUAGUAUGGUAUUUGUGGAAAACAAGGAAUGGGUUGAUUUUUGAAGGCAAAGUUUU
rnacentral:lncRNA from 1 species